rnacentral:other from 1 species
UGUCUCCUGCGGUGUUCGACAAAAGCUCCAAACCCCUUGAGCCUAAUUGGAAAACCCCGGGAGCCUUACCUGUGUUUGGCGUGCAGGCCCGCCUUGCAGCGGGAAGCCCGAUAACACGGCGCGGUGCCCACUUGAGACCUCGUCUCAAGGUAGUGAGCGUAUGACGGCACAGGCGGGAGACAC